CACUUCCAUCGGCCGAUAAUAAGUAAAGUUUUGAACUGGUCUACAACCGUAUUGUGAGUUGUCUGUUUAUUAAGAGGCGAGCCUGUUUGUUUGAAUAAAAGUAACUAUUUCAUUGGCGUUUUCAAUGACGGGGAAUAA